GUGAGGAAUAUUGGACAAUGGGCGCAAGCCUGAUCCAGCCAUGCCGCGUGCAGGAAGACGCAUCUAUGGUGUGUAAACUGCUUUUGUACGGGAAGAAACACUCUCUCGUGAGGGAGCUUGACGGUACCGUAAGAAUAAGGAUCGGCUAACUCCGUGCCAGCAGCCGCGGUAAUACGGAGGAUCCAAGCGUUAUCCGGAAUCAUUGGGUUUAAAGGGUCCGUAGGCGGUUUAAUAAGUCAGUGGUGAAAGCCCAUCGCUCAACGAUGGAACGGCCAUUGAUACUGUUAGACUUGAAUUACAAGGAAGUAACUAGAAUAUGUAGUGUAGCGGUGAAAUGCUUAGAUAUUACAUGGAAUACCAAUUGCGAAGGCAGGUUACUACUUGUGGAUUGACGCUGAUGGACGAAAGCGUGGGGAGCGAACAGGAUUAGAAACCCGAGUAGUCC
rnacentral:rRNA from 1 species